ensembl:lincRNA
CGGGAGAACUCAGUGCUUCUGUCAGUAUGUAUGCAGGAAUUUCAGUCUGCAAUCUUGGGUCUGUCUGCCUCUUUCCUCAGUCUCAUGGCAGCUUGGGCCCUACUCUUCUCCUACACUGGGCUGAAUUGUUCCAGAACAACGUUCAUAAACAUCAGACAGGGCCAGGAAAAUAAAACCAGGAAAGGCAGGACACCCCAUAAGGCAGAAUGGCUCUCUUCAAGUCCCAGCUCCCCCAUUUACAAGGCACAUUUCCCUGGGCCUUAGAGUCCUUAUCUGUGAAACAGGAAGGGUAUUGAAAGCUACCACCGGUUCUCAAGUGGAAGAUUACAUCAGUUGUCAGACACAACAUAAAGAAUACAGUGUCAGUCGGUGGAUGACAGGCCAGAUGGGAUGCCAAGCAACAGAAUCUUGCAGGCUCCGCUGACCCCUCUACACUGGGAGAGCAACAGAGGCUCAGAGAGGGCCAGAAACACACCAAGAACUCACAGCAGAGCCUGGCAGAACUGCACGGGGCCCAAGCUGUGCACUUCCAUCCCAGCCCUGGUGUGUGCCAACCUCACGCCGGCCUGUGAGUACUCUUCAGCUCAGCCUGACCCUCCUGUGGGCUCCAGCAAGCCCCAAGGCCUUGAGUGCCUGUGCUUGCUCCACUCUCCCCAGGGCACUUGGGGCCCAUGGCUGGGGCUGCUGGGGCUGGGCCAUGGCGCCAGACCAGUGGGCAGAGAGGCCAGAGGCUCUGUCGCUCCCCGGAGGAGGCAGGCGGCCCCAGGCCCUUCCAGAGGGAAGCUGCAGGUGCAGGCGGGGAGUCUAAUCUGAGCUGCUGUUCCGGUUAAGCGUCUCCAUGUCUUCCAACCGCCCUCUCCUCUCACCUAGGCGUCUGGCCUCCCAGUGCCCGGGAGCCUCCCUGGAGAUAAUGAAUGGUGGUUCCUAUGCUCAGCCUGCAGGCAAGCAAUGCUCAGUAAAUACUACGUCCUCCUCCUUCCCCGGCCUGCAGCGUGGUUAACUUAGGGCCACUGGUGCAGGUGGAGGUGGGGAUGGGGUGGCAGCUGUGUGACCUUUUGUGCUCCCUGAGUCCCACCCUGGCCAGGGAUAUUGGGCUGGGACUUGGGUUGCCAGAUUGGAGCCAGGUGCACAGCCCCCACAAAAGGCAGACCCCAAGUACUGUAGCUGCUAAUGCAGACGGUUCUGAUACCCUGAGCUGUCCCUAAGAAGGCUGCUCGAGGUGGGGAGUGACAGCCCUGGCCAGGACCCGGGACAUCAGGGUCAGCUCUGAUCUGAGCUGCUGCGCUCUGUGACAUUGGGCAGGUCACUUCCGGUCCCUGGUCCUCACCAUAUUCCUACCCUACCGAAGGGGAGAGUUACGCCGACUCCUCCCGAUGGUCCCGUCGAGGCUGCGGCCUCCAGCCUUACACAGGAGCUAUGGCCCAAGCCAAAGCUGAACCUCUGCGGGUACUUUUGUUGGUGCACACAGAAACUGUGCCCCAGGCUCCCUGGGCCAGACCCAUAAACCAGGCCCAUAAAGGCCAGCGGUGAGGCAGCUGGACUCCCUCAAAUAAAAAGCAGGUUCCCAGUGGGAUUGAGAAAGGCCAGUUCCAGCAGCUCUGAGACAAA